AAAAGUACAAAUAAAAUUGGAUGGAGAAGAAGUAGACUUAGGUUUGCCUGAGAUUGAGCCUUCUGAUUUAAUUGAGUAUAUAGAACUACACGAAAACGGCACACGGGACUUACACAAUGAAGAAUAUAUCUAUAACAUUACGUCUGAAAGAAGCGAUGAGUACAUCUACAAUAGUACGUCCAAAAGAAUUAAAAGGUCUAGUGGUACGGGUAGUUCUGGCUAUGACAGAAAGGGGCCCAAAUGUGCAAAGAAACUAAAGAUGAUGAAGAAGAGUGCUGAUGAGAAAGCAAUACAAUAUUCACUGCUGAUUGAAACCAAGGAAACAGCA